UAUAAAAGAGUCCGUGAGUUGCAAUGGAAGAAAAAAAACACCCAUUUUAUCCUAACAAAUUAAAGUGACAUUGCAAUAAUUUAUAUACUAGAAAAGGUGUAAUCAAAAGAAUAAUUUAUAAGGUAGGACAUGAAAUACAUUUUUUGAGUCCGCUGUGUGUGCCCUAACUUGUGAGUUUGAAUUCAACUCUUUCAUAUUGGGUGGAACUUCUUUUGUUGAGCUAAGUAUAAAUCUUACGCUCUACAUUAAAUUUUUCAACAUUUUUCAUGCACCCUAGCCAUUUCUUUUCCAUCCUUCUCUUUUUCUUCUUCUUCUUUCUAAUUUCUACUAGGAAAAGUGCCCGUGCGUUGCAACGGGAGAAUACAGUAAUGUGUAGCGCAACGCUACGGAGAAAAUGCUAGAGUCCAAGUAAAAUGUAUAAUUAUGUUCCAUUUUCACUUGGUCACGUAAUAUCAAAAGAAAAGCCGUCCGCUUAGGAAAAAAAAAUCAGAAGUGCAUGCUUUUGUGGGUAUGCUUGAACAAAAUGUCACAUUUAAUUACACUAAUAGAAUAUCUCAAGUCAAUUCAGAGAUGUAGUAAAAAGUAUCAUAUUGAAACACGAAGUUUCUGAACCGACUUGCAUACAUACUACUGAACAUUGAACAAUAGUUGAACCUAAAGUUGCUGGGCAGCAAUUUGUGGCUCCAAUUUAACCAUCCGAGCUACUAUAUGAGAGAUCAUGAGUUUGUCUAAUAGAAAAUAUUUUCUGACGUAACAUUAUUCCCUGAUUGCUUUGGUUGUUGGAGGUUGCCUCUACCAUCAACGAAUCCAAAGAGACGCGAGGCUGGAUUUUUUGGCAACACAAUUGGUCAAGCAACUGGGAUGUAGGCGUGUAGCACCAUCUCCGGUUUACAAUUUCGCAAACGAUAAAGAUAAACUGAAAGGCAAGACUCUAUCCGCGGCUUUGAUGUUGGACACAAAGUUUGAUGGUGCUGACUUAACAUAAGUUGUCAUGUUGAAGGCCUAUGCUGUUGGUACAAGUUUCAAAGGUAACAGAAACAUAACUACAGACCUUGAUUUGUUCUAUACAAAACCGCUUUGUUCGUUGUCUCAUUGCUUUCAAAUACUGAGCCUUUCAUAUGUCCUUUGCAGUCCAUGCGUUGCAACAGAAGAAAAGAAAAUAAUAUGCUUCACUGCAAAGCAAAACACCAAUUAUCAUUAAUCAAGUUGGUAGGUACAGAAUAAAUUUGAUGAUGACCAAAAUUAUGAUUCGAUUAACUACAAAAAUUUUUGGGGCGCUAGUUUGAAAUAUGGGACAUGAAUCCUAGUCAGCUAACCGAGUGAAACAACUUUAUCUUUAGACAACCGUACCGAUAAUAAAAAUAUCGCACAAUGCUUAUUUUAAGCUACCAUCAGACAUUAAAAAUGUGGUAUACUUCGUCUGGAUGUAGAUCAACUAAAGACUCUAUUGCCAUGCGUGCCACGCUAGCUACGUAACAACACGUCGACUGGCUAGAAGAAUCCAGCGCGCCUCGCUGGCGCUCCUCCGUUUUCUCUACCACGAGGCUCUGCUCAGUUAUCCGCAUCCCCCGACUUGGGAUGCGACGCCGCUGCCGUCUACGCCCACCGCCGCCGGGAUCCUGCCCCAUCCCAUCCCCACCCCCACAAUGCUCCGCCACCUGCCGGGACCCCCCUUGGCUGGUGGCGACGGCGGUUGCGGGGCCUGUGGCGGAAGGAGGCGGUCUGGUGGUGCUGCUUGCCUGCUUGUUUGCCGGUGACUCAAGGAUUCUGGGGCGGCUUGGAUCGUGGCCCAUCAUGGCUGCAUGAAUUUUUUUUCUGUAUCUUAAGAUUGGCUCCCACCGCCGGAAGCAGCAGCUCCACCGCACAACAAUGGCGCUGCGGGUGUCGCUCUCGAGUGCCAGUUCACGGUCCCCGCGCCCAUCUACCUGUGCAGCGCGGCCGCUAACAUGGGCAGCUCGAUGAGGAACGCCGGCGGCGCCCGCAUGCCCUCGUGGAUGGCCAGGCUCAGCCGGCCGCGGCGGUGCCCGAAGAGCGUCACCGCCGGUUCGUGGUCCGCGAGAAGGGCCCUGCUGCUGCUGUGCUGCCCGAGCAGCAGGCCCAUCUUGAGCGCCACGACGGCUCGUCCCAUUCCUGGGCUCGGGCGGCGCGGACGCCCGCCACGACGCAUCACCCCUUCCUUGGCUCUUGCGGCGUGGACGUCGGCGGCAAGCGGCGACGCGUGCCCGACGGUGGAGAACGCAAAUGGAUAAGCGGCGGUCGUUCCUGGUGGUGAAUCAGUUUAAUUAAAUAUCACGGGGUAGAUUUCUAACUAAUGGAGGGUUUUUUAGCAAAAACGAAGCGUUUCCUCAGGUUAAAAUAGGACUGCGGGUUGAUUUCUUAGAAAUAGAGGGACUUUUAUGCAAAAUUGCUAGCAACGACGGACGACCAGAAACCCAAUUUUCUUUAUUAUUACUAGCAAAAGAGCUCGUGCGUUGCAACGGGAGAGAAAACAUAACACACGUUCUUAACUCAA